AUGGCUCAGACCGUGCAGAACGUUACAUUGUCGCUCACUCUGCCCAUCACGUGUCACAUCUGCUUGGGGAAGGUACGCCAGCCUGUCAUAUGCAUCAACAACCAUGUGUUUUGUUCGGUUUGUAUCGACUUGUGGUUGAAGAAUAAUAGCCAAUGUCCAGCCUGCAGAGUCCCCAUCACUCCUGAAAAUCCUUGCAAAGAAAUUAUUGGAGGAACAAGUGAAAGUGAACCUAUGCUAAGCCAUACAGUCAGGAAGCAUCUUCGGAAAACCAGACUUGAAUUACUCCACAAAGAAUAUGAGGAUGAAAUAGAUUGUCUGCAGAAAGAGGUAGACGAGCUUAAGAGUAAAAACCUCAGCUUGGAAUCACAGAUCAAGACUAUUCUGGAUCCUUUAACCUUGAUGCAGGGCAACCAGAAUGAAGAUAAACUUCCAGUUGCAGAUAAUCCAAGUAAAAUUGACCCAGAAACUGUAGCAGAGUGGAAGAAAAGACUUAGAACAGCUAAUGAAAUCUAUGAAAAAGUGAAAGAUGAUGUGGAUAAGCUCAAAGAGGCAAAUAAAAAAUUGAAAUUGGAAAAUGGUGGCCUGGUGAGGGAGAAUUUGCGACUGAAAGCUGAAGUUGAUAACAGAUCACCUCAGAAGUUUGGAAGGUUUACAGUAGCUGCUCUGCAGUCCAAAGUAGAGCAGUAUGAACGUGAAACCAAUCGUCUCAAGAAAGCGCUGGAACGAAGCGAUAAAUAUAUAGAGGAACUGGAGUCUCAAAUUACACAGCUGAAGAAUUCAAGUGACGAGAAGGAAGCGAUGAAUGCCAUUUGUCAGAGAGCACUUUCUACAGACGGCAAGGGGAGCAAAGGCACCGAGGAGGAUAUGGCAUCCAAGAACCAAGGUGAUGGUGCCAGAAAGCAGCUUGGCUCAGCCACUUCGAGUUCUCACCUGGCAAAACCUUCUAGCAGUUCUGUCAGGCAGGAAGGUACCAGCAAAACAGAACCAAAUUGUUCUAAGAACCAAGACCUGUAUCAGAAGCGAGUGGAAACAAUGCUCACUGUGACAGAUACAAGUAUGGAUACCUAUCUGGAAAGAGAAUGGGGAAAUAAGCCAAGUGACUGCAUGCCCUACAAAGAUGAAGAACUCUACGAUCUACCAGCUUCCUGUGCUCCUUUGUCCCUUAGCUGUCUUCAGCUCAAUACGCCAGAUAAUAGAGAGAGCUCUGUAGUCAAAGCAGGAGGUUCUAAAAAGCAGUCAAACCAUCUCAGAAAAUUGAUGUUUGAUGAGUUCUGUGAUUCUCCAAAUGUGUGUAAUAAAGAUUCUUCAGAAGAUGAUAGAAGUGAGAGUGAAAAGAAAUCAGAGUGUUUUACUUCCCCGAAGACAGGGUUUUGGGAUUGUUGUUCCACAAGCUAUGCCCCCAGCUUGGACUUUGAAAACUCAGAGGAGAACACAAUAGCAAAUUGUGUUGGAGAAAUUUCUUCAAAAUUGAGUGAGAAACCAGGUUCGUGUUUAUCCAAGAGGUUGAAUUCCCUCCGCUCUUUUGAAAUGAAUCGGACAAGAACAUCCAGCGAAGCAUCAAUGGAUGCAGCUUACCUUGACAAAAUCUCGGAGCUGGAUUCAAUGAUGUCAGAGUCAGACAACAGCAAGAGCCCCUGUAAUAACGGUUUUAAGUCGCUGGACUUGGAUGGGUUAUCAAAGUCAUCUCAGUGCAGUGAAUUCCUUGAGGAAACAGAUAAGUUGGAAGAAAGAACUAAACCAAACCUUUCUAAAGGUUCUCUAACUACUGAUCAGUUGGAAAAUGGAGAUGAAUGGAAACCCAAUUCUUUUUUUCUCCUCUCUCCAUCUGACCAAGAAAUGAAUGAAGAUUUUUCACUCCAUUCCAGUUCGAACCCAGGAACCAAUGAAAUCAAACCACCAAGUUGUUUGUUUCAAACUGAGUUUUCCCAGGGUGUUUUGUUAAGCAGUACAAACCGGCUAUUUGAAGAUCAGAGGUUUGGGUCAUCUUUGUUUAAGAUGUCCUCAGAGAUGCCUGGUCUUCAUACCCACCUUCAAUCUCCUUGGUCUACUUCUUUUGUGCCUGAAAAAAGGAAUAAAAAUGUGAAUCAAUCAGCAAAAAGAAAAAUCCAGAGCAGCCUUUCCAAUGCCAGCCCAUCAAAAGCAACUAAAAGUUGA
rnacentral:lncRNA from 1 species